rnacentral:lncRNA from 12 species
AUGAAUUUUGCCAGAAAAACCCCCAAAUUUGGGAGUCAACCUUCCUCAACCCCUCCAAUCCCUGGGAAAACACAGGAAUUUGGGGGAUCAAAAAACCUCAAAAAGCAUCAAAAAAACCCGACGUCCGUGGGAAAAACGCUGGAAUCCCCCCCCCCCCCCCCCCCCCCCCCCCCCCCCCCCCCCCCCCCCCCCCCCCCCCCCCCCCCCCCCCCCCCCCCCCCCCCCCCCCCCCCAAAAAAAAAAAAAACAAACAAAAAACUCCACAAUUCCAUGGGAAAAACGCUGGGAUUUUGGGACAAAACCCAAAAGCCACUCCAGAAUUGCUCAGAUUUGUGGGGAAAGGGAGGGGUUUGGGGUGAUGUGGCUCAGAGCCCCCACCUGUCCUGCUCCUGGCGCCCAUCCCCCGCCGUGCCCUCCUUGGCCAGCAGGUCCAGGCGCUGGUUGAUCUUGGCAAUGAUGGAGUCAGAGCUGGAUCCCAGCUCUGCUGAGCCUGAGGAUCCCAGUCCCAGGGAGGAUCCUGAUCCCAACCCUGAUCCUGCUCCAAAACCGGAUCCUGAUCCUGCUCCAAAACCGGAUCCUGCUCCGAAAGUGGAUCCUGCUCCUGAUCCGAAGGUGGAUCCUGAUCCGAAGGCAGCUCCAGAUCCCGAUCCAAAGGUGGAUCCCGAGGAUCCCAAGCCCAAAGCAGAUCCAGAUGAUCCAAAGGCAGUUCCUGACCCCGAGCCAAAGGUGGAUCCCGACGAUCCAAAGCCGGAUCCCGACGAUCCGAAGGCAGCUCCAGAUCCCGAGCCCACGGAUCCGAAGGUUCCUGAUCCCACAGAUCCAAAGGCAGCUCCAGAUGUUGAUCCCACGGAUCCAAAGGCAGCUCCAGAUGUUGAUCCCACGGAUCCAAAGGCAGCUCCAGAUGUUGAUCCCACGGAUCCAAAGGCAGCUCCAGAUGUUGAUCCCACGGAUCCAAAGGCAGCUCCAGAUGUUGAUCCCACGGAUCCAAAGGCAGCUCCAGAUGUUGAUCCCACGGAUCCAAAGGCAGCUCCAGAUGUUGAUCCCACGGAUCCAAAGGCAGCUCCAGAUGUUGAUCCCACGGAUCCAAAGGCAGCUCCAGAUGUUGAUCCCACGGAUCCAAAGGCAGCUCCAGAUGUUGAUCCCACGGAUCCAAAGGCAGCUCCAGAUGUUGAUCCCACGGAUCCAAAGGCAGCUCCAGAUGUUGAUCCCACGGAUCCAAAGGCAGCUCCAGAGCCCGAGGUUCCCUCGCUGGAUCCCAGCCCCAGCUCUGCAGCCUUGUUAAUUAAUUAGGGACCAAUCAAAAGGGGAAAUGAAGAAUUAAGAGGGACAAGAUCCCAGCAGGAAAAGCCCCAGGAUCAUUCCAAGGAAAUCUGGGGAGUUUAGAAUUCAUAACCCUCAUAGCCUGAGGAUGAAUGGGUUAAUUAGUCAUUAAUCAACUAAUUAGGGGAUCAUUCAAAAGGGAAAUGAAGAAUUCGAGAUGUGGGAUCCCAGCAGGAAAAGCCCCGGGAUCACUGCAAGGGAAUUUGGGGGUGCAGAACUCAUAGCCCUCGUAGCCUGGGGAUGAAAGGGUUAAUUAGCCAUUGAUCAACUAAUUAGGGCAUCAUUCAAAAGGGAAAUGAAGAAUUAGAGGGGUGGGAUCCCAGCAGGAAAAGCCCCAGGAUCAUCCCAAGAAGUCAUUCAAAGGGAAUUUGGGUAAUUAGGGGAUCAUUCAAAAGGGAAAUGAAGAAUUCGAGAUGUGGGAUCCCAGCAGGAAAAGCCCCGGGAUCAUCCCAAGGGGUCACUGCAAGGGAAUUGGGGGGUGUAGAACUCAUAGCCCUUGUAGCCUGGGGAUGAAAGGGUUAAUUUAGUCACUAGUUAAUUAAUUAGGGACCAAUCAAAAGGGGAAAUGAAGAAUUAAGAGGGACAAGAUCCCAGCAGGAAAAGCCCCAGGAUCAUUCCAAGGAAAUCUGGGGAGUUUAGAAUUCAUAACCCUCAUAGCCUGAGGAUGAAUGGGUUAAUUAGUCAUUAAUCAACUAAUUAGGGGAUCAUUCAAAAGGGAAAUGAAGAAUUACAGAUGUGGGAUCCCAGCAGGAAAAGCCCCAGGAUCAUCCCAAGAAGUCAUUCAAAGGGAAUUUGGGGUUGUAGGACUCCUAACCCUCGUAGCCUGGAGAUGAAAGAGUUAAUUUAGUCAUUAAUCAAUUAACCAGGCAGGGGCUGAUUAAAAAUGGAAAUGAAGAAUUAGAGAGGAUGCAGGAAUUGGGGAAGAAUCUGCCCAGGAUUCCCAGAGGAUCCCCAGACCCACCUUGCCAGCUGGUCGCGUUCGUGGCGUAGGAACCUGGGGAAAGAAAGAGGAAAAAUGGAAUUUUUCUAUGGAAAAUGUGGAAUUUUGGGGUGAAAGCAGUGGGGGAUUUGUGGGAAAAGGGGGAAUUUUGG